AACAGCUUCCACCACAAGACUGGAGAUGCUAGCUUCCCCAAAAGUCAAAUACGCAGCUUCUGCGGAAGUUCAUGAUCUCAUGUGCAAGACCCCACGGCAAGACCGGUACAAGAUUCCGGCGGCGGCGGUGUGCCCGGCGGCGCCCAGGAAGAAGGCCGCCGCCGCCGUCUGCAUUAUAGCCCCAAAAGAUGGAUAUUUCCGGCCUCCUGAUCUCGAAGUUUUCUUCGCCGUCGCUUCAAGGCGACGAGGCGCGGAAUCAUUUUCAUAAAUUGUAUUUUUGUCUAAAGUUUAUUUUAAUAUAUAUUUUUUUUUCAAUUUA